rnacentral:rRNA from 1 species
ACGGUUAACGGAGCGAAAGCGACGUUCAACCGCAAAACAAGCAGAGGGGGCUUAGUGGUGGGGUGACUGCGUACCUUUUGUAUAAUGGGUCAGCGACUUAUAUUCUGUAGCAAGGUUAACCGUAUAGGGGAGCCGGAGGGAAACCGAGUCUUAAUUGGGCGUUAAGUUGCAGGGUAUAGACCCGAAACCCGGUGAUCUAGCCAUGGGCAGGUUGAAGGUUGGGUAACACUAACUGGAGGACCGAACCGACUAAUGUUGAAAAAUUAGCGGAUGACCUGUGGCUGGGGGUGAAAGGCCAAUCAAACCGGGAGAUAGCUGGUUCUCCCCGAAAGCUAUUUAGGUAGCGCCUCGUGAAUUCAUCUCCGGGGGUAGAGCACUGUUUCGGCUAGGGGGCCAUCCCGGCUUACCAACCCGAUGCAAACUGCGAAUACCGGAGAAUGUUAUCACGGGAGACACACGGCGGGUGCUAACGUCCGUCGUGAAGAGGGAAACAACCCAGACCGCCAGCUAAGGUCCCAAAGUCAUGGUUAAGUGGGAAACGAUGUGGGAAGGCCCAGACAGCCAGGAUGUUGGCUUAGAAGCAGCCAUCAUUUAAAGAAAGCGUAAUAGCUCACUGGUCGAGUCGGCCUGCGCGGAAGAUGUAACGGGGCUAAACCAUGCACCGAAGCUGCGGCAGCGAACGUAUCACCCAAGACAACUUUACGGAGUUGACGAUUGACGGAGCGAAGCGACGUCAAAGCGUUCAUUAAAGUCGAGUUGGCUUAGGGAUACGUUCGUUGGGUAGGGGAGCGUUCUGUAAGCCUGUGAAGGUGUGUCGUGAGGCAUGCUGGAGGUAUCAGAAGUGCGAAUGCUGACAUAAGUAACGAUAAAGCGGGUGAAAAGCCCGCUCGCCGGAAGACCAAGGGUUCCUGUCCAACGUUAAUCGGGGCAGGGUGAGUCGACCCCUAAGGCGAGGCCGAAAGGCGUAGUCGAUGGGAAACGGGUUAAUAUUCCCGUACUUGGUGUUACUGCGAAGGGGGGACGGAGAAGGCUAUGUUGGCCGGGCGACGGUUGUCCCGGUUUAAGCGUGUAGGUGUGUGUUCCAGGUAAAUCCGGUUCACUUUAACACUGAGGCGUGACGACGAGGCACUACGGUGCUGAAGCAACAAAUGCCCUGCUUCCAGGAAAAGCCUCUAAGCAUCAGGUAACAC